rnacentral:rRNA from 1 species
AUUGAACGCUGGCGGCAGGCCUAACACAUGCAAGUCGAACGAGUGGCGGACGGGUGAGUAAUAUCUGGGAAACUGCCUGAUGGAGGGGGCUAACUACUGGAAACGGUAGCUAAUACCGCAUACCAUCAGAUGUGCCCAGAUGGGAUUAGCUAGUUGGUUGGGUAACGGUUCACCAAGGCGACGAUCCCUAGCUGGUCUGAAAGGAUGAACAGACAAACGGGAACUGAGAACCGGUCCAGACUCCUACGGUAGGCAGCAGUGGGGAAGAUUGCACAAGGGGCGCAAGCCUGAUGCAGCCAUGCCGCGUGUAUGAAGAAGGCCUUCGGGUUGUAAAGUACUUUCAUCGGGGAGGCGUUACCCGCAGAAGAAGCACCGGCUAACUCCGGGCCAGCAGCCGCGGUAAUAC